rnacentral:rRNA from 1 species
UAGGGAAUUUUCCGCAAUGGACGCAAGUCUGACGCAGCAACGCCGCGUGAGUGAAGAAGGAUUUCGGUUCGUAAAACCCUGUUGUUAGAGAAGAACAGCGCAUAGAGUAACUGUUAUGCGUGUGACGGUAUCUAACCAGAAAGCCACGGCUAACUACGUGCCAGCAGCCGCGGUAAUACGUAGGUGGCAAGCGUUGUACGGAUUUAUUGGGCGUAAAGCGAGCGCAGGCGGUCAAUUAAGUCUGAUGUGAAAGCCCCCGGCUCAACCGGGGAGGGUCAUUGGGAACUAGUUAACUUGGGUGCAGAAGAGGAGAGUGGAAUUCCAGGUGUGGCGGUGAAAUGCGUGGAAAUAUGGAGGAACACCAGAGGCGAAGGCGACUCUCUGGUCUGUAACUGACGCUGAGGCUCGAAAGCGGGGGUAGCAAACAGG